GCGGCGGACGGGUUAGUAACGCGUGGGAAUAUGCCCAAAGGUACGGAAUAGCCUCUGGAAACGGAGAGUAAUACCGUAUGUGCCCUUCGGGGGAAAGACUUAUCGCCUUUGGAUUAGCCCGCGUUAGAUUAGGUAGUUGGUGGGGUAAUGGCCUACCAAGCCUACGAUCUAUAGCUGGUUUUAGAGGAUGAUCAGCAACACUGGGACUGAGACACGGCCCAGACUCCUACGGGAGGCAGCAGUGGGGAAUCUUGGACAAUGGGGGCAACCCUGAUCCAGCCAUGCCGCGUGAGUGAUGAAGGCCUUAGGGUCGUAAAGCUCUUUCGCCUGUGAAGAUAAUGACGGUAGCAGGUAAAGAAACCCCGGCUAACUCCGUGCCAGCAGCCGCGGUAAUACGGAGGGGGUUAGCGUUGUUCGGAAUUACUGGGCGUAAAGCGCACGUAGGCGGAUCGGAAAGUUGGGGGUGAAAUCCCGGGGCUCAACCCCGGAACUGCCUCCAAAACUAUCGGUCUAGAGUUCGAGAGAGGUGAGUGGAAUUCCGAGUGUAGAGGUGAAAUUCGUAGAUAUUCGGAGGAACACCAGUGGCGAAGGCGGCUCACUGGCUCGAUACUGACGCUGAGGUGCGAAAGUGUGGGGAGCAAACAGGAUUAGAUACCCUGGUAGUCCACACCGUAAACGAUGAAUGCCAGUCGUCGGGUAGCAUGCUAUUCGGUGACACACCUAACGAAUUAAGCAUUCCGCCUGGGGAGUACGGUCGCAAGAUUAAAACUCAAAGGAAUUGACGGGGGCC
rnacentral:rRNA from 1 species